rnacentral:lncRNA from 1 species
CCACUCACAGAUAAGUUGUGCAAGUUGAUGCUGUGUCAACCUAUUUUUUACCCACUGCCUGAUAACUGUCCUGUCCUCUCUAUCAAAAUGUCUAUAAUUCAUGAAAGAUCUCCGUUGUUAUCCACACCAUUAUGAGACUCCUGGGGGAAAAAAUAGACCUAUUGUUAGUGUAGUUCAAGUGGUUAACUAGCCAUCAAGAUUAUACCAAGUUAAGCAUAAUCAUACAACAGUUUGUUAGUGAUAUAUUAUGCGGCGCAAUCAAAUGGGAGAUCCUAGUGUUUUCUUCUCUUUUAUACCAAGUUAAGCAUAAUCAUACAACAGUUUGUUAGUGAUAUAUUAUGCGGCGCAAUCAAAUGGGAGAUCCUAGUGUUUUCUUCCCAUUCAAUUUAUUAUAUUAGUCUCCUAUUUAUUAUUGAUGUAAUACUAAUAGUAAUAAUAAUAAUAAUGAUAAUGAUAAUGAUAAUUCUUUUGCUUCUGUUAGAAUAUAAUUAUAAUAUCUUGAUAUCAACCCCAUUCUCUAAGAGUGUGUUUGGAUGAGGUAAUUGAAAAUUUUAGAGAGUUUAGAAUUCUAGGCAAUUGAAAUUAUUCAAUUAAUUUGCCUUCAUUUCUAAAUCUUUUUGUUUGGAUAGAGUAAUAAAAAAAUUCAUUGUUAAAAUUUUUGGGCUACUUAUAUAAAUGUGACAAAAUUUGGGUCAAAUUUGAAAAUUGAAAAAUAGGCUUAGUGUUUAGCAUAGUAUCUUAGACUAUCUCUUAAAACUAGUUUCCAUAUUUCUUUAUUAUUAUCAUUAUUUGUUUCCCUAUUUAAAUAGGAUUUGCAGUCUUGUAUUAUUAUUCUUAAGACUGAAAAUAUGUUUUUUCAUAUCAAAUUAUGUAGGGAGAAUGUACAUUUAUAUGGGUAGGAGUCUCCUAGUUAAUCCCUAAUUAAUAAGGAAGAUUAAUCAAUACAAUCAAUACAAUAAAUAGUGAAGUUAAAACUAAAUAGUCACAACUUUUCAAUAUCUCAACACUCCCCCUCAAGGUGGUGCGUAUACAUCAUAUGCAUCCAUCUUGUCACAUAUGUAAGUUAUCUGAGGACUCCGUAGAGAUUUAGUAAAGAUAUCAACAAGUUGAUCCUUGGCAUUGACAGACGAGGUUCUGAUGAUUCCGGUGAUAAUCUUCUCUCUAAGAAAGUGACAGUCAACUUCAAUAUGCUUUGUCCUCUCGUGAAAAACUGGAUUGGAGGAGAGGUGUAAAGCUGAUUGAUUAUCACAUACAAGUUCCAUUUGACCAACCUCACAAAAAUGUAAUUCCUACAAUAAAUGUUUCAACCACACAAGCUCACAUGUAGUAUGAGCCAUAGCUCGAUACUCGGCUUCUGUACUCGACCGGGCGACAACAGUUUGCCUUUUGCUCUUCCAUGAAAUCCGAUUUCCGCCCACAAAAAUGCAAUAACUAGAAGUAGACCGUCUAUCACUUGCAUCUCCUGCCCAAUCGGCAUUUGAAUACCCCACGAUAUUUGCGUGGCCUCUAUCAAUGAAAACAAGUCCUUUUCCGGGUGCUCUUUUUGAUAUACUUAAGAAUUCGAACAACUGCAUUCCAAUGAUUGACACAAGGAGAGUUAAGAAACUGACUUACGACGCUAACCGGAAAAGAUAUGUCCGAUCUGGUCAAGGUGAGAUAAUUCAAUUUUCCCACUAGUCUUCGGUAUCUGCCUGGAUCAUAAUAGGGCUCCCCCUGGUUAGGAAGAAGCUUCACAUUAGGAUCCAUAAGAGUAUCAACUAGUUUACAAUCUAUAAGACCUGUUUCCUCCAAAAUAUCAAGGGCAUACUUCCUCUGAGUGAUAGCAAUUUCAGAGUUUGAUUGAGCCACUUCAAUCCCGAGAAAGUAACGAAGAGGACCUAAGUCCUUAGUCUGAAAGUUUUGAAAUAGAUGUUGUUUUAAUGCCUUGAUAACUUCAUAAUCAUCACCGGUCAUUACAAUGUCAUCAACAUAAACCACAAGGUAGAUAUAUUUAUUUGAUGUUGAGCAUUUAAGAAAAACAGAAUGAUCUGAUUCGCAACGGGUCAUCCCAAACUGUUGUAGAAGUUUGUUGAAUCGACCAAACCAUGCUCGAGGCGUUAAUCCAUACAAGGACUUUUUCAAUUUGCAUACCAAACUUUUCCCCCCUUGAGCAACAAACCCAGGAGGUUGCUCCAUAUAAAUCUCUUCUUCCAAGUCACCAUGCAAGAAAGCAUUCUUGAUAUCCAACUGAAACAAGGCCAACGUCUCAUGGCAUUCUUGAUAUCCAACUGAAACAGGGCCAACGUCUCAUGGCAGCCAUAGACUUGAGUAUAACCUUUUGCUACUAACCGAGCCUUUAAUCGAUCAUCGAUCAACCUGUCCAUCAAGUCCCACUUUGACAUUAAACACCCACCUGCAACCAACAAUAGAUUUUCCAAGAGGCGGUGGAACAAGCUCCCAAGUUUGGUUUUAUUCUAACGCAAUCAUCUCAUCAAUCAUGGCCUGUUUCUACGCUGGAUGAGAUAAUGCUUCAUGAAGUGUCUUAGGAAUUGAGCCAGUUGAAAGAGCAGAAACAAAAGCCAAGUAGGAAGGAGACAAUCGGUGGUAGCUCAAAAAAUUAUAAAUAGGAUGAGGAUUAGCGGUAGACCUUUUAUCUUUACGAAGAGCAAUAGGUAAGUCAAUAGGAUGCUCAAGUGGAACCGCAGCAGGAGAAGAGACUGGAACAAUACCUGAAUCACUAGAAUUAGUAGCAGGGGUCUUAGGAGUUGAAUCAUUGGAAUCAAUAGGAGCUGUUUCUUGAGCUUCAACAUGUCGACGCUCAUAAGUAAUACCAUACCGACGAAACUCUGGGUUACCUUGUGACUGUGGAGGAUUUUGAGUAGAGACAAAUGGCUCAAAUAGAGGAAUGGGCAUCACCUGGGAAGUAGUAACAUCAGUUGUAGAAGUUGCAGAACCAGAUGUAGUGGGUGAAGCAAAGAAUGGUCUAUCCUCAAAGAAAGUAACAUUUGCUGAAACAUAAAAACGAUGUGCAGAUGGAGAAUAACAACGAUACCCCUUUUGGGUUUUAGAAUAUCCCAUAAACACACAUUUGACAGCUCGAGCAGACAAUUUAUCACGACCAGGAGAGAGAUCAUGUGCAAAACACGUAGAUCCAAACACACGAAGAGGGACAUCGUAAAGAGGAUCCUUAGGAAACAAAAAAGUGAGUAUGGAAUUUCAUUACCCAAUACCGAUGAUGGCAUGCGGCUUAUCAAAUAACAGGUAGUGAGAAUGGCAUCACCCCAAAAUCUGAAAGGUGCAUGGGCAUUGAUCAAUAAAGUUCGAGCUGUGUCAACCAAAUGACGAUGUUUUCUUUCAGUGACACCAUUUUGUUGCAGUGUGUGAGGACAGCUGGACUGAUGUAUAAUACCAUGAGAAGCCAUAAAGGAGUUGAAUGAUGUAGAAAAAUAUUUGGCAUUCUCACUCCGUAAAAUUCGAAUUGUUUUACCAGAUUGGGUCUUUAUCUCUGAACAAAACGUUUGAAAGGCACCAAAUAAUUAUGAACGAUCCUUCAAUAAGGUGAUCCAGGUGCAUCUAGAGAAAUCAUCAAUGAAAGUGACAUAAUAUUUGUAUCCCAAAGUAGACGACAGGCGACUUGUAACACCUCGUUAUCCCAAACAAUUAAAUAAUAAAUAUGACAUCCGAGUUUAACACCAAAACGGUCAUGUCACACUACUUUUCAAAAUUUCUUAAAUAGAAUAUAAAAUUAUUUAAUUUAACAUUAAUAAACUGCAGCGGAAUGGUUUUCAUUAAAUAACAACAUCAACAUCAAUGUUUAAUACUCCACUAAAUAAUCCUGGUAUAGAAACCUCAUCAAAAUAAUUCAACAAUCAAAUAAAGGGCUACAUCAGCAUGUUCCAAAAAUUUGAUACCAUAAGGAAUGAAAAUAAAUAAGUAAUCUCAUCCCGUACGUAUCAGAGCCCUAGACACUUGAGCCACCAUCUACUACUCAGGAUUACCUGCAAGUUACCCAUAGGAAGGGCAACAUUUCCAAGCAGAAGGAGUGAGAUUCACAACAAUAAUAAUAGAUAUAGAAUUCCUCAAUUGAAUCUAAUACCCUAACAUAAUAAUAAUUAUUCAAUAUAAAUAUAUAUUUCAUAAUCAACAACAUCAACAAUAAUGGUAAUUACAACCAACAACAACGACUCAUGCAACUACUCGACAACACCGCUAAGACUCCUCGACAAUGCACAUGCAUGUGGGACCAAUUUACAGGGCAGAAGCCCUCACCGAAUUUUGAAUGGUUAAAGCAUUCAUCAGGGCAUAAACCCUCACCAAUUUGAACAAUAAAGUGUUCCAGGACAUGAGACCUCCCGCUUUGAACGACAAGGCGUUCCAGGGCAUGAGCCCUCCCGCUUUAUAUGUUAUGCAAUGGACUCCACUUGUGUAUAUCUACAUACAACUUAACAAUGCAUAUAUAUAUAUGACUUACAACUCCACAAUUCAACAACAUGUAUGAUUUAAUUAAUGUAAACAUACAUCACAGUCAUCAACAGAUCAUCAUAAUCAAUCCAACAAUUCAAGAAAAUACACAAUCAAUCAUAAUCAUGCUCAGACAUCAAGAUCAUUCAAUUAAAUAACAAUCAGCUUCAGAACUGGGCAACUCGCCUCGCGAGCUCAUCUGCUCGCUAUGGCGAACUCAGGAAAUGGGUUACUCGCCGUGGCGAGUACGAGGCGAACGAGAAAAAUGGUUCUCUCGGGAGUUUUGACAUUUUUCUCACUAAAUCUUCAUUUUUAAGUUCCCUAUUCAUCCUUUUAAUUUAAAAAUUGUCCCAAUCCUCUCUAAAAUCAUCUAGGCACUCAAAACUAACCAAUAUACACCUUAUAACAACAAUCUGAAAAUCAAGGUUCUCACUCACUAACUCGCCAUGGCGAGUGGUUCUGCUCGCGAGGCGGGCUAUGAAGAUUGCUCACUCGCGAGACGAGACAAGCUACUCGUCGAGGCGAGCGAUGAAUAUCAGUACGGGCAGAAUGCAGGUUUUUCCCAAAAAUCCCGAUUUCCUCAAUUUCACUCCCCAAAUCAGUUUACAGAUAUGAAACUAAAUGUUGUAUGCAACCAGAACCUAUUUCUAACAUCAAAACAGUAAUUCCUACACUCAAUUCACCCAAAAACCAAGAAUUCAACUUAAACCCCAAAAUUCCCAAUUUCUACCAUAAACCUGUUAAACCAAAAUCAGAAUUAAACAUCUAUACUACUGAAGCAAACCUCACCCUUACCUUAAUUCAGAUGAACAAAAGCACAAAAAUCUGGUUCACUUGGCUCUGCUUGGCUCUUCUCCCUUUUUCUCCCAAAAGCUCUGUUUGCACGUAAAAGCAGUUCUGACUAUUUCUUUUCCUAACUCCCAAUACAUAACUCCCCUUUAUUUCAUUUAACUCCCCCUUAAUUCUAUUAAUUUCUAAUUAAAUCCCCAACCUCCAAAAUAAUAAUAAUUCCCACUUAUUCUAAUUAAUAUUAAAAUAAACCAUAUAAUAAAAUAUAACACACCACAUAUCAACAGUAAUUAUUUAAAAUCAUAUAAAAGACUCUAAAUAAAUCAUAAAUAAAUAAAUAACGACUAGGGCGUUACACGACUAGGACCCCAAACAUCAGAAUGGAUGAUAUCAAAGGGAGACAUUGAUCUUUUAUUGACACGACUUGGAAAAGAUACUCUGACAUGUUUGCCAAGCUGACAUGAUUCACAAUCCAAUGACUUUAAAUGUGAAAGGUGAGGAAUUAAUACCUUUAACUUAUCCAAACUUGGAUGACCCAAACUACGAUGAAUGAUAUCUGGAGAUGCAGAAACACCACAAAUGGUGGAUGGAUGAGAAUGGAGAUAAUAGAGACCCUGUGAUUCAAAUCCUGUUCCAAUUGUCUUUCCCGUACUUCGGUCUUGUAUAAGAGUCGGAAGAAAAUGUUAUAGAACAAUUGAGAGAUUGAGCAAGUUUACUGAGAUCAAAUUAAAAGGACUUCUAGGUAUGAAUAACACCUAAUUCAAUGAUAGAGAUGGCAGAGGAGAAGCUUGACCAAUACCAGUAACUUGUGCCUUAGAACCAUUAGCAACAGUAAUGUUGUGAGGUAUCUUUGGAGGUGACAAAUUAGAGAUAAGAGAGGGAUCACCAACAACAUGAUCAGAAGCACCAGAAUCUAAAACCCAUGAUCCAGUAGAGUGAGAUAAGCACACUGUAGAAUUGAUGAAAUGAGCCAAUGUGGCUAAAGAGGAAACUGGUUGGAUCGCCAUUAAACAACACGAAACAAAAACCAGGACGGUUCCUUUUGGACACCAAACGACUGAAUUGAGAAAAAAAUGAUGCUAAUAAAAAUAUAGGGAUAGCCUUGACAGUGACUGAACCCAAAGACAAAACUAGGAUUUCAGAACCAUGCUCUGGAUACCAUCUUAAGACUGAAAAUAUGUUUUUUCAUAUCAAAUUAUGUGGGGAGAAUGUACAUUUAUAUGGGUAGGAGUCUCCUAGUUAAUCCCUAAUUAAUAAGGAAGAUUAAUCAAUACAAUCAAUACAAUAAAUAGUGAAGUUAAAACUAAAUAGUCACAACUUUUGAAUAUCUCAACAAUUAUAAAUAAUUGUUAUAGUUUAGUGUAUCAUCAAUCAUAUCAAACCUUAAUCAAGUUAUUCAUCUUUUUCUACACACUUUAUAUAAACACUAUAACUUCAAUAACUUUGUUUCAAACUAAUUAAGUGAAUGUAUUUUUGCCAUUCUUUGGUGACACAACCAUGUAGGUAUGUCUUUACAACUGACCCCAGAGGAGGAUUGAAACUCUGGAGGUUGCCUGACCCUUCACAAUCUAAUAGUCAGAACUCCAUGAGGGAUAUUGUGUCACAUGCAGCAGAAUUCAUAUCAAGUUAUGGAAUGCGGAUAAUGUGUUUGGAUGCAUGCUUGGAGGAAGAGGUAUUCAUCUUCUCCGUUUUUAUUUUUUUAUCUUGUUGGGGGUGAGUUAUGUUCGGUAUUGCUUUGAUGGAACCUGACUUUGUAAACAAUUAAAAUACCAUUUUAUCAAAAACUUCUUUUAUGUAAAGGUCGGCCCUGACAUUGUUCAACAACUAAUUGUGAGGAACAGCGUUAUUGCUCUAAACUGUUUUUAAUUUUGGCCUUUUAAUUUUAACUGACUUAUAAUUUAAAAAGAGAAUCUCAUUUGGAAUCUGGAUAUGUUUUUGCAGGUCCUAGCAUGUGGAGAUCUACGUGGAAAUAUGGUUUUGUUUCCUUUGCUAAAGAAUCUGGUGCUAGGCACAUCUGUUGCACAAGAGAUGAAAAUACCGCCAGUAAAUCAUUUUAAAGGUGUUCACGGGAUUUCAAGUGUCUCCAGCGUUGUUGUAACUAAGCUUGGUUAUAAUCAAAUUGAGAUACGCUCAGUAUGUUUAACUAUUCAUCCUUCAAUUUGAGAUAAGAUUGGAUACAAUCAAAUUCAAAUUCAGAUAUAAGCAUUUUGCAAAUAAUAACAUCAAGAGCACAGUUAAAUAUCAAUCCAUCAAUUAAAGUUAUGAAUAUGCUCCACUCUAACUCCAAUUGUUGACUUUUAUUCAUGUUCAGACUGGAGCAGAUGGUUGUAUAUGCUAUCUGGAAUAUGAUGGGGAAAUGCAGCAUUUGCAAUUUACGGGAAUGAAACAAGUGAAAGAGUUGUCUUCGAUUGAGCAUGUUUCUGUUGAUAACAACUCGGAAGAUACAUCAUCAAGAAGCUAUGCAGCAGGUUUUGCGUCUGUAGAUUUCAUCGUAUGGAAUUUAGUCAAUGAGAAUAAGGUACUUUGACUAUUUUUUUCUCUUUACUCUGCUUAGUUAAUAUUCAUCUGUUGCUGCGUACAUCACCAGAUAUUAUAGCUACGUAUCAUGUGCAUAUGGUAUUACCAGGUGGUGAAAAUUCCAUGUGGUGGCUGGCGGCGUCCUCAUUCCUAUUUUCUAGGUGAUGUACCAGAGAUGAAGAACUGUUUUGCUUUUGUUAAGGUUUGCUUUUUGUUUUGAACACUUAAUUGACAAAAAUUAAGCAAUAUAUAUUUCUGUAAGCUUUACCUAUCUUAAAUCAUAUGACACCUGCUCAUACUGAAAAAGUUACACUCUUCCAAAAAUUCUUUAGAGGGACGACUAUAAUUCACUAUAUUUGAGGUCAUUAUAUGCAUUUGGUUUUGUCUUGAAUAGGAAUUCCAUACAAUUGCUUUAAGGCCUCACUUUUUGAUUGGUUAAACCUAAUAAUGGGGAUAGACCGGAUAAAGUUAAAUAAAAGGAUUUGGCUCCUCUAUAGUGGGGUGUACUUUAGAGAGUAAAGUGCAAUUAUAAGUUGAUAACCGUCGAUUUAAAAACCGGUUGAGAUUGUAGUAAAAUACAUGCAGAGAUAACAAAUUAUGAAUUUUCAAUAAUUGGUUAUAAUUUCAGAUUUAUGACGUGUUUAGUUUCACAUUUAAAAUCAUAGGCGUGCGUUUAGAGCUGUUUUUUCCGUGAAUUUAAAGAAGCUAGAAAUCCUAGCUUUUGGUGGACGCACGUCUAAAUCUGUUUCUGCCAUGGAAACAGAUACUUAAUCCUUUGUAGUGCAUCCUUCACUUUAGAGCAACCAAAUCCUAAAUAAAAGUUAUUUAAACAUGAUUGCCUUCUUGAUAUGUGCAGUUUUCAGCUUUCAAAAUUUUCCAUCCAUACAUAUGCAUGGGGAUCUGAAACAAACAAUUUUCCGUAUACUUAUUGUUAAUCUCCCUUUAUUUUAUUGCUUCAGUAACAUGGGUGUUGUGAAAAGUUUGAAAAAGUGUUAAAAUUAUUGCUACACUUUUAGCGUUAAAUUUCAACUCUAAUUUUAGCAGUGGUUACUUUUUAAGCUUUGCCAAUACCGACCUUUUUAUUAGACACCAGUCCUAUUUUCUUGUGGGUUGUUGUUCUUUUGUUAUUACAAAUUUAUUCUUCGGAAUAUCCCUCUGACAAAUCAUUCCAACUUUUACAGGAUGAAAUAAUAUAUAUACAUAGACACUGGAUUAAUGAUAACGUUGGGAAGAUAUACCCUCUAAGUUUGCAUAUGCAAUUCCAUGGGAGAGAGAUACAUUCCUUGUGCUUUAUACACGAAGAUAUGCUUCUAGGAGAUUAUUGUAAACGUGCAUCAUUUUCUAAAUCAAGUUGGAUUGCAACUGGAUGUGAAGACGGGACUGUGAGAUUGACUUGGUAAAACCAUUAUUCUCUGCUGCGUGUAGAUUUCAUUUGAGUACCUCAUAAACUCCUAAUCUGCGUCUGUUUGUUUGAUUUAGGUACUCUCCAGGUAUUGAGAAUUGGUCCAUGUCAAAAUUGCUUGGUGAGCAUGUUGGAGGAUCAGCUGUAAGGUCAAUUUGUUGUGUUUCGAAACUACACAUCAUUCCAUCAGCUACAACCGAAGUACCUGAUGGGAGGAGCGAACAUAAUGCUGCUGAUGAGGACAAAGAUAAUCCAAUUUUACUGAUAUCAGUGGGUGCAAAGCGUGUCUUAACUUCUUGGCUACUUAAAAGCAGGAAACUGGAUGACAAAACUAACUUCCGAACUGAUAAUCAGCAUGAUGCAAAGGAACUUGAUGAUCAAUUUUUGUCCAGCAUGUCUUCUUCAAUGACGUUCCAGUGGCUUUCCACUGACAUGCCAACCAAAUAUUCAAGUACACACAGAUAUACAGAAAAUAAUGUGGGGAAAGCAGUUGAUGUUGCUGAAAGUGGUUCUAAAAUAAAAAUUGAUGCUGAGGCUGGAUCACUGAUUUCUGAAGGGGGGACAAUGAACUUGGUCAGAGAUAAACAUGAGGAUGACUGGAGAUAUCUUGCGGUCACUGCUUUUCUUGUUAAAUGUGCUGGUUCCAGGUUAGAGGAGAUGCCUAACAUUUGCGUCUUGGUUCCGUAUAACUCAAAUAAUUUGAAACUAAAGUUCUAUUUUGUAUAAUUUUCAGGAUAUCUGUCUGCUUUGUUGUCGUUGCUUGUUCAGAUGCUACAGUUAUGUUACGGGCUUUAAUUUUACCCUUUCGCUUAUGGUAUUAACAAUUAUUUCCAUCAAAUUCUAUGAACUUUUUCUCUGCUUUCUUUUAUUUCUUGUUACAUCUUACAUAGCUCUUUCCCUUUUACUUGAUGACAGGUUUGACGUUGCAUUACUUGUUCCUUUAUUGGCACCUGUUUUGUCAUUGCAGCAUAUCAUCUUUCCCUUACGUAUGCCUUAUAAAGGUUUGUCUUGCACUCCAUUUAAGUGAUUGGUUAUGAGAGCUGUGAACCACUUAAUCCCUUCUUUUGAUAUGGAUGUAGAAGUUCUGUUGUAAAUUGUAAUGCUACUAGAAUUUUUGAAGCUCGUCUCUUCAAAAUUUAAGGCGGUACUUACCUGUUACCGAAUAUCACAAUUAAUGGUGAAAAGACUCAAAUGUAUGAUGUACUCAUCAUGAAAGCCUAAAUUGAAAGAUGAAAUUGUCUCAAUAUUUUGGUUUACUUAUGAUCGUGGGCUUUUUUAAUAGUCCAAGGAUCGUAUUAUAAAAUAGUGUGAUAGGUAGCCUCUUUACUGCCUGUCUCCACCUUGUUCCUCAGUAUAUGAAACGAAAGAUAUUAUUUGUUAAGAUGAAUGUCCUGUUCCUUUGUCAUACCUUUUAAAAUAUAUGCUAGAAUAAAUUUAGAGGUUCUUUGUAUAUUUUCUGCCUGAUCUAUUUCCCUGCUUCAAUAUGUCUGAACUUUCUUUUGCAGAUAACGUCAAAGUUGGAAAUGUUUACAUUGUGAUUGGCGGAUCUACUGAUGGGAGUGUUACAUUUUGGGACCUGACUGACAGUGUGGAAGCUUUUAUGCAGAGCGUUUCAGUUUGUGAUGUAGAGAAGCUUUUUGAUUGUCAAAAACGACCACGCACAGGGAGAGGAAGUCAGGGUGGUAGACGGUGGAGGAGAUCUUUAAGCAGUGGGUUAUCAAAGGAAAGACAAGGCAACAAUCAGGUGACUUCAAAAGCCAAAAACAAGGCCAAAAGCAUCAAUUCUACUACACAUGGGACCUCUUCAGUGCCAAAUAAAUCUGAAGACAACAAUAUGGUUUGUUCUCAAACCAGACAUACAGCUUCCCCCGUGUUGGAAACUAAGGCUGAUGAUUCCUCAGCGGAAAUAUGUGAAAUACAACCUCUGCACCUUUUGAAAAAUGUUCACCAAUCUGGUGUCAACUGUCUCCAUGUUUCAGAGAUAAAAGCCGGGCAAACUAAUGAUAGUUCCUGCGUGUACAACAUAAUUAGUGGGGGAGAUGAUCAGUCAAUUCAUCAUCUCGUGGUUGAGUUAUCAACUAAAACAAUAAAUCUUGAUUAUGGGGUUUUAACCCCAGAUGUAGCACAUUUGGUCACUGAACCUGAAUACUUGAAGGACAUCAAUUUUCAAAAUCAGAGCAGAAACUACGAGAUCAGAUUCUUAAAUUCUGAAAAAUUUCCUUCGGCCCACAGCUCUUCUGUGAAAGGUAAUUCUGUGAAAUUAAACUUCCCUAUCUACCUACUUUUUGUGUGUCUAUAAUGAACAGUCGGCAAGGCAUGUCAGGCUUUCUUUGUCUGACACAAUGCUUUGUUGGCUUUCCCACUAAUUUUUUUUCAUUUACUUCAUCUAGCAUUUUGUCCCACUGAGAAUCUUAACCCUAUUAUUCCCGAUAGGAUUUUUCCUUGUUAUGAUAAAAUGAUAAAGUAUUCAUAAUACUUGUGAACCAUAUCCAUUUGAACCACUUUAUCAAAUUGAAGCUAGUGUAUGGAUGUCUGAACUUGCAUAUUUAUGAAAGAAAGUUUGGUCAGUUUUGUAUGACUAUCAACUUUUAUUUUAUAAAGGUGUCUGGACGGAUGGAUCUUGGGUGUUUUCGACUGGACUUGAUCAGCGGGUCAGAUGCUGGCAUCUUCACCAGAGUAAACUAAUAGAACGUGCACACCUAAUAGUUAGUGUGCCGGAGCCUGAAGCGUUAUCUGCUAGGGCAUGUAGCAGGUGAUUAUUAUAGAAGUGAAUGACUGGGUUGGGUGAUAUAUCAUAUUGUUCUUUCUCUUAACACUUGCUGGUCCCUUACGCAGGAACCAUUAUCAGAUUGCUGUUGCUGGAAGAGGGAUGCAAAUAGUGGACUUCUCAGGAUGCCAGCACGAUGAAUGAUGCGAGGAUAAUUGAUUGUUGUUAUCUUAUUUUAUUUUUAAAUCAGAAUAAUUUAUGGAGGUGCAAUUUGUUCAACCUCGUUCAGAUGUAUCCAUUUCUAAUCCUGCUGAUAUUUUCUAGUAUAUUGGCAAAAUGGUCUGUGGUUUAUCCAUGCCUCUGAAAAUUGUUGGGAAUCUGCAAUGUGCAAUUUUGAUUUAUAUUUAACUGUAACGUACUAUAAAUUAUUUUAAAUCCAAGGAGAAUGUGUCGCAUUGAUGUUUCUCACUGUUUCCUUUCGAGCAAAUUUAUUUCCUGUAUGGAAAGAAGAUAUCGUGCUUAUCACUCUUAUUUGAUAUAUGCCACUAUAUGCUUUUCUCACUGUGUUUCCUUGACAUUUGUUAGUUAAUGUAUCAUGUUUAUUAAUUUAAUAUGAUUGAAUAUUACUAGAGUAUUAAUUCACCAAUUUUGUCUUUGAAUGUAAAUAUACGUGUUUUAAUAUGUGACGGAUGUAUGUAUUAUUAUUAAUAGAUAGAUAUGAGCUGCAAAUAUUUUUUAAAAUUCCCAUUUCUCUUGCAAAAUGAUUAAAAAAUAAAUGGCGGCAAGCUGUGCUUGGCUGGCUGGUCAUGUGCUAACAACUUGUCUUCUACUACUAUUAAGCUAUACCAAAAAGAUAAGCACGUUUUUGCAUUUAUGCUGUUUAGAUCCAGAAUAGUAAGCAUAUCUCUUGUUUCAGAUUCAGCCUUAUGCAUUGAAAAGUUGCAACUGCCUCAUAAUCAGCUUAUACGAGUGAGGCAAGGAUCUUAAAUUAACUAAUUUACAGCUGUUUACGGUUCAUGAUUGAUGCCGCGGAUGCACAAUGAGGAUGGGACUAAAUCUCCACACAAGUUCACAUUCGUAGGUUAAUUGCUUUUAUGUUUUCAACAGAUUUAAUUUCAAGGGUGUACAUGUGGUGGUUACCGGUGAGGGCGGGACCCAAUAUAUUUUGAAGCGUAAAAGGAAAUUUGAGUUUUUUGAAGCGUAAAAUUGAGGUUAUGCUUUUCUAAAAUCUAAUACCGAAAUGAAGGUAUUAUAGUUUUGGCUCUCUAAAUAAAUAUUUAUGAAUUUAGUUCGGUUGAUAUAAACAUUUAUAUUUAUGGUUUUUCAGACAGAUUUAUCAAUGCUACAUAUAGGCAUUGUCUAAUAAGUUGUAUGACAAUGUUUUUUUUUAAAUAAAACUAAAAAACUUAUGUUAUGGUUUUUCAGAUAGAGAUUUAUCAAUGCUAAUAGUGAUAUGUGUAUAUAAUCUGACUAAGAAAAACCCGUGGAAACGUAAAAUAUAUAAUUACUGAUUGGUGAAUGAGAGAAAUGUAAGAACUAAGAAUUACGGUGCAUGAAAAAAUAGAAUUGUUAUAUUAUUUUUGUCAAUUUUACUGUGCAUGUCACAUUUAAAAAUGAGAACAAACAAAUACAACACAACCCAUUGCAAUGCACACAGUGCUCUUUCUCUUUACUUGAUUUGAUUUUAUUCUUUUCUUUUGGGUAAGGACCACAACUGCACAUGAUCUCAUUACGUUCAAUUACAGGAAAGAAUAUCAUAUCAUGUUACACUUAAAAUCAUAACGGCCUCUGAAAUGCUCGAAGAGCAAAUUAAAAUCAUAUCUCUAAACAAACUUUGUUUAAAUACAACUUUAUUUUGAAUUAUAUUAAAAUACAACUUAGUUUUAUAUUUUCAAUAUUUAGGGUCCUCUAAUAUGGACCAAGUAAAAAGGACCACUAGUGAAUCCUUGAAAUGACAUAUUAUAGCAAAUUAAUUUUUUUUGUUUAUUGUGAAAUUAACAUAAAUGCAAAUGGGAGGGGUUAAAAUUUACAAAGUAUAUUUUGUGGCUUUACUCAAACUACGUUUUCAAAUUGUACAACAGUGCCUUUUUUUUAUAAUUUCUUUUUCAAAAGCUUUUUGAAUUAAAAUAAUUAAAAAAGAAACUACCAUUUCAAUUGUUGUUACCAUUGCACUACAAUGGUUAAACUAUAUGAAUAUGAUUGAUGCAUAUAAUUUAUUUUAUCUCUUUUUAACUUUUUCUUUUACACAUUUUAUUUACCAAUGAACCCCAACCACGAUAAUUUUUGGUCCAAUUUUAUGUAAAAUUAUGACAAUUUUCUAUGUAUCACAAGUCAACAAAAUGUCUCAUCUUUUAAUUAAAAAUGCAUCCAAUAACCCAAUUCUCAAAUUUUCAAAUUAUAUUUCUAUCUCACACUUUGAAAAUUACUCAUAUCAAUACCAACAAUUUUCAACUCAAUCAAAUAAUCCUAAUAUGCCUUAUGGGGUUCAAUUGGAUAGUAGUGGUGUACAAUUAAAUGAUCAAGAGCUUGCAACAUCAUAAUUUUGCACUCAAAGUGACUUAGAAACUAGUAUUAUCCUGGUGAAGAAGUCAGAACUACAUCGGUUAUGAAUAUGUCGAAAAUAAAAUUUCAAUAAAAAAAAGAUAAACUUCUCAUUUAAUCAUGACUCAAUAUUUUAAAGGAUCAAUUGUAAGGAUUGAUAAAAAAAGAAGAUAGUUUUUGAAAGAGAAUUGAUUAAAAUUAUAACAACCACUCUCUCAAAAAAAAAAUUAUAACGACCAUCGCCUCAAGAAUAUAUAUAUAUAUAUAUUUCUUAUAACUUACUUGUGUCGUGUAGUUUUCUUAUAAUGAGGAUACACUAUUUUAGCCAGCAAACCUUCAGCAACUAUAGAGUAUAGACAUCGUAAAUGGUCUACACAUAUAGGAAUAUGCUUCAUAUAUUCAUAGCCACGACAUUCCUACUUCAUUGGUUCCUUGUUUGGCCAACAUUCUGGUUCCUAUUAUCUUCUAACCAAUGGUGAGUUUAUGCAUUAAUAGAAUAAGCUAAUAACAAAAGGUUUGCUUCAAUUUGUAUACAAAAAGUUCCACUUAAC